rnacentral:rRNA from 1 species
GACGAAGGGGGCUAGCGUUGUUCGGAAUUACUGGGUGUAAAGGGCGUGUAGGCGGCUCUGCAAGUCAGAUGUGAAAUUCCCGGGCUUAACCCGGGCGCUGCAUCUGAAACUGCAGAACUUGAGUACUGGAGAGGAUAGUGGAAUUCCUAGUGUAGCGGUAAAAUGCGUAGAUAUUAGGAGGAACACCAGAGGCGAAGGCGGCUAUCUGGACAGUAACUGACGCUGAGGCGCGAAAGCGUGGGGAGCAAACAGG